UACGUAGGUGGCAAGCGUUGUCCGGAAUUAUUGGGCGUAAAGCGCGCGCAGGCGGUCCUUUAAGUCUGAUGUGAAAGCCCACGGCUCAACCGUGGAGGGUCAUUGGAAACUGGAGGACUUGAGUACAGAAGAGGAAAGCGGAAUUCCACGUGUAGCGGUGAAAUGCGUAGAGAUGUGGAGGAACACCAGUGGCGAAGGCGGCUUUCUGGUCUGUAACUGACGCUGAGGCGCGAAAGCCAGGGGAGCAAACGGG
rnacentral:rRNA from 1 species